rnacentral:rRNA from 1 species
UACGAAGGGGGCUAGCGUUGCUCGGAAUCACUGGGCGUAAAGCGCACGUAGGCGGCUUCUUAAGUCAGGGGUGAAAUCCUGGAGCUCAACUCCAGAACUGCCUUUGAUACUGAGGAGCUUGAGUCCGGGAGAGGUGAGUGGAACUGCGAGUGUAGAGGUGAAAUUCGUAGAUAUUCGCAAGAACACCAGUGGCGAAGGCGGCUCACUGGACCGGAACUGACGCUGAGGUGCGAAAGCGUGGGGAGCAAACAGG